GGUUAAGUGGGAAACGAUGUGGGAAGGCACAGACAGCCAGGAUGUUGGCUUAGAAGCAGCCAUCAUUUAAAGAAAGCGUAAUAGCUCACUGGUCGAGUCGGCCUGCGCGGAAGAUGUAACGGGGCUAAACCAUGCACCGAAGCUGCGGCAGCGACACUAUGUGUUGUUGGGUAGGGGAGCGUUCUGUAAGCCUGCGAAGGUGUGCUGUGAGGCAUGCUGGAGGUAUCAGAAGUGCGAAUGCUGACAUAAGUAACGAUAAAGCGGGUGAAAAGCCCGCUCGCCGGAAGACCAAGGGUUCCUGUCCAACGUUAAUCGGGGCAGGGUGAGUCGACCCCUAAGGCGAGGCCGAAAGGCGUAGUCGAUGGGAAACAGGUUAAUAUUCCUGUACUUGGUGUUACUGCGAAGGGGGGACGGAGAAGGCUAUGUUAGCCGGGCGACGGUUGUCCCGGUUUAAGCAUGUAGGCUGAUUGUCCAGGCAAAUCCGGAUAAUCAAGGCUGAGGUGUGAUGACGAGGCACUACGGUGCUGAAGUAACAAAUGCCCUGCUUCCAGGAAAAGCCUCUAAGCAUCAGGUAACAUUAAAUCGUACCCCAAACCGACACAGGUGGUCAGGUAGAGAAUACCAAGGCGCUUGAGAGAACUCGGGUGAAGGAACUAGGCAAAAUGGUGCCGUAACUUCGGGAGAAGGCACGCUGGUGUGUAGGUGAAGUCCCUGCGGAUGGAGCUGAGACCAGUCGAAGAUACCAGCUGGCUGCAACUGUUUAUUAAAAACACAGCACUGUGCAAACACGAAAGUGGACGUAUACGGUGUGACGCCUGCCCGGUGCCGGAAGGUUAAUUGAUGGGGUUAUCCGUAAGGAGAAGCUCUUGAUCGAAGCCCCGGUAAACGGCGGCCGUAACUAUAACGGUCCUAAGGUAGCGAAAUUCCUUGUCGGGUAAGUUCCGACCUGCACGAAUGGCGUAAUGAUGGCCAGGCUGUCUCCACCCGAGACUCAGUGAAAUUGAACUCGCUGUGAAGAUGCAGUGUACCCGCGGCAAGACGGAAAGACCCCGUGAACCUUUACUAUAGCUUGACACUGAACAUUGAGCCUUGAUGUGUAGGAUAGGUGGGAGGCUUUGAAGCGUGGACGCCAGUCUGCGUGGAGCCAACCUUGAAAUACCACCCUUUAAUGUUUGAUGUUCUAACGUUGGCCCCUGACCGGGGUUGCGGACAGUGUCUGGUGGGUAGUUUGACUGGGGCGGUCUCCUCCCAAAGCGUAACGGAGGAGCACGAAGGUUAGCUAAUCCUGGUCGGACAUCAGGAGGUUAGUGCAAUGGCAUAAGCUAGCUUGACUGCGAGCGUGACGGCGCGAGCAGGUGCGAAAGCAGGUCAUAGUGAUCCGGUGGUUCUGAAUGGAAGGGCCAUCGCUCAACGGAUAAAAGGUACUCCGGGGAUAACAGGCUGAUACCGCCCAAGAGUUCAUAUCGACGGCGGUGUUUGGCACCUCGAUGUCGGCUCAUCACAUCCUGGGGCUGAAGUAGGUCCCAAGGGUAUGGCUGUUCGCCAUUUAAAGUGGUACGCGAGCUGGGUUUAGAACGUCGUGAGACAGUUCGGUCCCUAUCUGCCGUGGGCGCUGGAGAAUUGAGGGGGGCUGCUCCUAGUACGAGAGGACCGGAGUGGACGCAUCACUGGUGUUCGGGUUGUCAUGCCAAUGGCACUGCCCGGUAGCUAAAUGCGGAAGAGAUAAGUGCUGAAAGCAUCUAAGCACGAAACUUGCCCCGAGAUGAGUUCUCCCUGAGACUUUAAGUCUCCUGAAGGAACGUUAAAGACGAUGACGUUGAUAGGCCGGGUGUGUAAGCGCAGCGAUGCGUUGAGCUAACCGGUACUAAUGAACCGUGAGGCUUAACCUU
rnacentral:rRNA from 1 species